AAUCAACGCUGGCGGCGUGCCUCAGACAUGCAAGUCGAACGCGAAAGUCCCCUUCGGGGGACAAGUAGAGUGGCGCACGGGUGAGUAACACGUAGGUAAUCCACCUUCGGAUGGGGAAUAACAACCGGAAACGGUUGCUAAUACCGCAUAAUGCAGCGGCACCUAAUGGUGACAGUUGUUAAAGCGGGGGAUCGAAAGACCUCGCGUCUGAAGAGGAGCCUGCGGCGGAUUAGCUAGNGGUAAGGUAACGGCUUACCAAGGCGACGAUCCGUAGCCGGCCUGAGAGGGCGGUCGGCCACACUGACACUGACAUACGGGUCAGACUCCUACGGGAGGCAGCAGUCGGGAAUUUUGGGCAAUGGGCGAAAGCCUGACCCAGCAACG
rnacentral:rRNA from 1 species